rnacentral:tRNA from 2 species
UAUAUUUUAGUAUAAGAUGUAUAAAAGUUUUUGAUACUUUAGGUAAUGGUUUAAUUCUAUUAAAUAUAA